rnacentral:lncRNA from 1 species
CCCCAGAGGCAGAGACCGCCACAACCGUCACCAAAGGCUGUUUACUUACCUCAGGGACAUUCUAGCCCUGAGCAAAAUCUGCAUGUGUCUGAACUGGAGGUGGGUUGGCAAGUGCGUGGAGGUGGUUUGGAACUUCUGUGGGAGCCCAGGAAAUAGCUGCCACUGUCUUCUCCAUUCCCCUUCCCUGCCUGGUGGUCGGGUGUGCAUCAUUUGCUAGAAGCCCACCCAGUGGCCUGGAAGCCUGGGGACUUGGCCUGCUUGCUGGGGAGAAUCUUGCUCCACUAAGGGGUUAAAGGCACUCCAUCUAACUUGGAUCAACGAUCCCAGGGCUGUUGAAGGAGAUGACAGGCCCAUGUGUGUGCCCACACUGGCUCCAAGCAGAGAGGAACCAGUUCUACCUCAAGACUCCCAGGCACCCCCGAUCUGGAAGACAGAGCUCUAUCUUGCUGCAAAGCUACAUCUGCCCACCAGAUGAGCAGUACCUGUAAAAACUUCCCACAUCAAGCCUUGUGGGGCUAAUGCCUCUUCCAGAGCCGCUGACAACAGGAAAAUGAUCCUAGCACUGCACUUCCCAAAGGACUCAGAGAUUCUUGCCCUGGAGCCAGGAAUGGGGAGUUUGAUGUUGUGUUGUCCACAGACAUUCCAGAAGGAAAGGGUUGCAGUAGGAGAAGGCCUGGACGAACAAGAGGAGGGACCAGGGAACAAAAGCAGAUUCUCAAAGAGGUCAAUAUAUAUUGGCUAAUUGCUUAAUAUUGGUAAUAGUAUUAAUAACAAAAAUCCCUACCAUUUACUGAAGGCCUUUAGCAUGCCAGGCCUCUUGCAGACAUCGCUCCAAUUCAUUCUCACAGCCUUGCAGAAUAUGUAUUACUUUCCCCAUUCUACAGAAGAAGAAACUGCUACUCCCAGAGGGUAUGCUUUCAAAGAUCACAGGGCUGCCACCAAGCCUGCUGCUUCAUGUCUGAGUGAAACAGAGCAAUCUCCCAGAUAACAGGAGACGGGUAGGUGGAAACAUUUCUAAAAUGGGGCUGAAGGAGAGCAAGUAAGCGCCAAACCUCGGUCCCAGCCCCUCUUGGAAUUGAGUUAAAGAGAAAAGAAGAGCUAAGAGCUCAGCGUUCCU